GAAAUUGGGAGGCGAUACAUAUUCUAAAAUUGGAACGAGACAGAGCAGAUUAGCAUAGCUCCUACGCAAGGAUGACACGCAAAUUCGUGAAGCGUUCAGUAUUUUU